rnacentral:rRNA from 1 species
AUUGAACGCUGGCGGCAGGCCUAACACAUGCAAGUCGAGCGGAUGAUGGGAACUUGCUCCUUGAUUCAGCGGCGGACGGGUGAGUAAUGCUUAGGAAUCUGCCUGGUAGUGGGGGACAACGUUUCGAAAGGAACGCUAAUACCGCAUACGUUCUACGGGAGAAAGCAGGGGACCUUCGGGCCUUGCGCUAUCAGAUGAGCCUAGGUCGGAUUAGCUUGUUGGUGAGGUAAUGGCUCACCGAGGGGACGAUCCGUAACUGGUCUGAGAGGAUGAUCAGUCACACUGGAACUGAGACACGGUCCAGACUCCUACGGGAGGCAGCAGUGGGGAAUAUUUGACAAUGGGCGAAAGCCUGAUCCAGCCAUGCCGCGUGUGUGAAGAAGGUCUUCGGAUUGUAAAGCACUUUAAGUUGGGAGGAAGGGUUGUAGAUUAAUACUCUGCAAUUUUGACGUUACCGACAGAAUAAGCACCGGCUAACUCUGUGCCAGCCGCCGCGGUAAAAC